UUACAAACCCUUGUCCCUUCUGCUUUUCAUUCUUGGUGAUCGACGACCACCCACCCGAAGCACUCCUUCUUUUCAGUUUACGCAAUUGAUAUCUCGGACGUAUUCGAUCAACUGUUAAACAAAGAAAUUAACCUUACCGAGCAAACCGAGGUGAGUUCACACUUUCUACAAGGCAUGGGAUUCCCGGUGGUUGGGAAUGGGCCUUUAGGUGCAUAUUGUUGGAACUUGCUGUCUGGUAUGCUGGAGUGGUCAUGGGUCUAGAUACAUGAAAACGCGAGACGAAUCUAAUGGCUUUCACACACUUGGUUUAUGAAUUUCUUAAUUAAUGUAUUAUGCUUCCCCUGAAUGUUAAAUAAUGUUUUGUAACACUUCUAUCAAUAAUAAAUGAAAGUUUUAUUUAUU
rnacentral:lncRNA from 1 species